CACCUAGCAACCGUUGCUAUGGCACCACACACGUAAUCGGUGACACGUCUUUGCGUUGAUGUGUGAGACCAGUUAUAGAUCAGAUCAUUUUGGAUUUGAAGGCAUUGGAAGCAGCCAUGGAUUUGCUCAUUUGCUGCUGUAUGAUCCUCCCUAAAUCGGAAGAGAUACAUGACGUAUGCUUCAGCAUAUUCCCAAUGAUCGAGAGCUUUUUCUACAGGUUGGGAGAGAAUCAGUGGAACAACCUGGAGAAAUGCAUCCCAGAUGUCGCCAUUGAAGUUAUGUUGGCAGAACUGCUUAUGGAUAUAAUAACAGAGUUAUCCAAAGCAUGCCUAAACUGUUUAGUGAGCACUGGCAAUUUGAAGCCAUACACUGAAAGUCAAUUUAUAGAUGGGAUAUUGACUCAAAGUUUCAAAAAUAUUAUGCAAAUUAAAGACAAAGUCGAGUGUGCAAGCUCAAAAUCCUUGAAUGACAUGAUACUUAGAGAGGUUUUAGGAAAUGCCAGGAGAUUUUACAAAAUCAAGAAACGUACUUUUCACCUAGAGCACGUCAUUCCCCUUGAACAACUCAAAGUAAUGGUUUCUCAUGCCUUAAUAAUGUUGUGGGAAUUUACUCCAAUGAUGAAAAAGCCGUCCAUAUUUCGAGUACAAAGACAGAAAAUUACUUUGACCAAAAAGCUGGUGCCUGUCGACCAAGAUGGUGUUGAGGAAUCAAAGGCUCCGAACAAUGUCACGUCAGAAAGAGUUCAAUCAUUAAUUCUGAGGGAAGUGAACGAGACAACGGAUCCUUUCCUGCAUGACACGUCAAAAAGACGUUACUUCGGCUUAAUCAGUACACAGAUUCCAUGGGACGUUAGUGAAAAAGUAUUUGAUAUGUUGGGGGCAGAUAUGUUUCAACGUGCCACUCUCGGGAAAAUUUAUAUCGGGUGCUUCGUUGAAAAACUGCUGAAUCACAUACUUGAUCGAAUUCAGAAAAUAUUCCUGAAGGACGAAGAAUACUCCCCCAUAUUGAUGGGUGAUAUACAACCCUUGGUGUCAGACCUGGUGAAGUGGGCUAACAACGAACAAAAUCACGACAAUGUUUUGGAAACCUUUGCAAUCGCAACACGUCUGAAGGAUGACCUUUUCAAAAGAAUUCAGAUGACACACCAGGGUGUUACCAAGAAUGAAUUGAUGAAUGAAGAGAUUUUUGAAAAAGUAUAUAUCUUCAUGAACUUGUUCAAUUUAUAUAACUGUCAGGUUCUCAGGAUGGUUGAAAAUAUUCGACCGGCUGUAGAGAUAAUUUCAACUACGAGUAAAGUUGAGGUCACAAAGUCACAAAGUUCAAAUGUUCCGUUCAAAGAGUUUUCUUCACCACAGUUGCUGGUCGACCACCAGAUCGACGUUCCUCCAAAUUCUCCUGAAGAACCUUCACAGGACAACACAGGGCAGGAAAGAAAAAAACGUUGUGUUAGGCCGGUCAUAGAGGACCUAGUUUGGGAGUUAGCAGAGAACUUCAAUAUUGAAAGUUGCACCAGGCAACUCGAGGUCAUCAUUCAGCGUCUGGUUGAAAAGAUUUUGUCCAAACUCAAGGAUGUGGACUUUAACCUCAAACCAAAAUCCUUUAAGAACUUGCACAAGAAGAUGUACAAUGAGCUGUACAAGAUGAAGGGCGGUAGAGCAGAUUUGCUGGUCUGCUUGAUAUUGGGGGACGAGGAAGUUGAAGAUUGCAUCGUCUCCAUCAUCAUAAAUAACGUGGAGCAGAGAAACGGUAUCUGCAAGAUCCUCAGCCGCGUGGGCCGAGCCUUCAUCAACAUCUUUAGGAGAAACAACAGUAUACAUCCAAUGCCUGACAAAGCCCGAGACAGUCGUGGAACAGUCCGAGACAGCCAUGAGACAGUCGUGGGACAGUCGUGAGACAUCUGUAAGGCGGUCGGUGAGACAGUCUUACAGACGUAAGACAGUUGGUGGGGCAGUGUGUGGGACAGUCGGUGGGACAUCGGUGGGACAGUCGUGAGACAGUCGUGAGACGGUCGGUGAGACAGUCUGAGACAGCCAUGAGAGUGUCGUAGGACAGUCGUGAGACAGUCGUGAGACAGUCAUGAGACAGUCGUGAGAAGUCUGUAAGACGGUCGGUGAGACAGUCUUACAGACGUAAGACAGUUGGUGGGACAGUGUGUGAGACAGUCGGUGGAACAGUCCGAGACAGUCGUGAGACAUCGGUGGGACAGUCGUGAGACGGUCGGUGAGACAGUCUGAGACAGCCAUGAGACUGUCGCAGGACAGUCGUGAGAAGUCUGUAAGACGGUCGGUGAGACAGUCUUACAGACGUAAGACAGUUGGUGGGACAGUGUGUGAGACAGUCGGUGGAACAGUCCGAGACAGUAAUGGGACAGUCGUGAGACAGUCGGUGAGACAGUCUGAGACAGCCAUGAGACUGUCGUAGGACAGUCGUGAGACAGUCGUGAGAAGUCUGUAAGACGGUCGGUGAGACAGUCUUACAGACGUAAGACAGUUGGUGGGACAGUGUGUGAGACAGUCGGUGGAACAGUCCGAGACAGUCGUGGGACAGUCGUGAGACGGUCGGUGAGACAGUCUGAGACAGCCACGAGACUGUCGUAGGACAGUCGUGAGACAGUCGUGAGACAGUCAUGAGACAGUCGUGAGAAGUCUGUAAGACGGUCGGUGAGACAGUCUUACAGACGUAAGACAGUCGGUGGGACAGUGUGUGAGACAGUCGGUGGAACAGUCUGAGACAGCCAUGAGACUGUCGUAGGACGGU
ensembl:lncRNA